CCGACGGUGAGAGGCGAAAGCUGGGGGAGCAAACCCGAUUAGAUACCCGGGUAGUCCCAGCUGUAAACGAUGCGCGUUAGGUGUGUCAGUGACCACGUGUCACUGAUGUGCCGAAGGGAAACCGUGAAACGCGCCGCCUGGGGAGUACGGUCGCAAGGCUGAAACUUAAAGGAAUUGGCGGGGGAGCACCACAAUGGGUGGAGCCUGCGGUUUAAUCGGACUCAACGCCGGAAAUCUCACCGGAUAA
rnacentral:rRNA from 1 species